rnacentral:misc_RNA from 1 species
GGAAGGAGCUGUACCUCCGUUAGUGGCAUUGUCACAAUCUGGCACUCCAAGAGCAAGGGAAAAGGCUCAGGCACUUCUUAGCUUCUUCAGAAAUCAACGGCACGGUAAUACAGGAAGGGGCUAAUUUAUACAUUGAACAAUACUUUUCUUUUUAAUUUACAGAUAAAUGAUUUUGUGUGUAAAUUUGAUAUUAUAAGUACUGUAUGUGAAAAUCAUGGUUUCCUAGAACGUUCACCGGAUUUGUGAGAUCUGCAGAAGUAAAUUAGUUG